CUGCUGAAGAGAUACCAUACACACAGUCUGUAGUUUACUGCCCUGCUGAAGAGAUACCAUACACACAGUCUGUAGUUUACUGCCCUGCUGAAGAGAUACCAUACACACAGUCUGUAGUUUACUGCCCUGCUGAAGAGAUACCAUACACACAGUCUGUAGUUUACUGCCCUGCUGAAGAGAUACCAUACACACAGUCUGUAGUUUACUGCCCUGCUGAAGAGAUACCAUACACACAGUCUGUAGUUUACUGCCCUGCUGAAGAGAUUCUUUAAAGCUGCAAUCAGCAGUUGAAACAAAAAACAAAGCCUUUUCCCCUCCACUGUUUUGCUAAAAAGCUGAGUAAUGGGGCCGGAGAAAUGUGACCACUCUCCAUUUCAUAGACAGAGCUGUAGAUACAAGGACUGAUUGUCUAAUACAACACCAUGAUAGUUUGAACCGUGUUCUGAGGCUAUUCACUUCCUUUGUUUAGGCAUAUUGGAGAAAAACAAGCUGAUAUUUUGAGUGUCACAGUUGACCUAAGCGCAUGAGGCAAUUUAUUUUACCUUUAUUUAACUGGGCGAGUCAGUUAAGAACAAACUCGUAUUUACAGUGACGGCCCAGGAACAGUGGGGUUAACUGCCUUUUUCAGGGGCAGAAAGACAGAUUUUUACCUCUUCAGCUUAGGGAUUCGAUCUAGCAACCUUUCGGUUACUGGCCCAACGCUCCAACCACUAGUUUACCUGCCACUGACCAGUUAUAUUCUUCAAGAAUCAAUGGAUACACCUGUAUAUCAUUCAUUUAUAAGUCCAAAAAUGGAUGUGUCUACUGCAGAUUGUCUCUCUAAGAUGAGGUGACAUGUUCUUCAGUAUAAACCUAAAGAGAGAUUCCACAGCUGUGAUUAGGAUGACUGUGCUGACGGAGGAUACAGGGGGAGACGAGGGAGGGGGGGCGAGGAGGUGUCCUAUUACCCAUGAUCCUCCUGUCUCAUCGCCAUCACUCAGGGUCUAGGUCUGUUGGUACAUGCCCUUCCUUCCUUCCCAGCGUCCCUCAUCCACAACGCUCCAAUUCACCUCUCAGCUGCCACUCAGCGGCUUUUAAACACAUUCUAACACACAUCAAAGGAACCACUUCUCCUUGAGGAGCUCAAACACUUCAGGAGACUCGGACCGCAGAAAAGGAGGAGGUCUGGGAGACUCUGACCGCAGGAAAGGAGGAGGUCUGGGAGACUCGGACCGCAGAAAAGGAGGAGGUCUGGGAGACUCUGACCGCAGGAAAGGAGGAGGUCUGGGAGACUCGGACCGCAGAAAAGGAGGAGAUCUGGGAGACUCGAACCGCAGAAAAGGAGGAGGUCUGGGAGACUCGGACCGCAGAAAAGGAGGAGGUCUGGGAGACUCGGACCGCAGAAAAGGAGGUCUGGGAGACUCGGACCGCAGAAAAGGAGGAGGUCUGGGAGACUCGGACCGCAGAAAAGGAGGAGGUCUGGGAGACUCGGACCGCAGAAAAGGAGGAGGUCUGGGAGACUCGGACCGCAGAAAAGGAGGUCUGGGAGACUCGGACCGCAGAAAAGGAGGUCUGGGAGACUCGGACCGCAGAAAAGGAGGAGGUCUGCUAUGGAUUCUUUAACAUCAGAAAUAGACGUUAAAAUGACAAGACUCUUGAAUACGGACACUGAAUCUUAGAGUGUUCAGUUUACCUUCAUGAUGAGUGCAAGAGCAGUAUUAAUUCAUAUUCACAAUGAUGACCAUGUUAUCUGAGGGUUAGUGCUAGUGUUAGGUUUAGGCUUAGGCUUAGGUUUAGGCUUAGGUCUAGGCUUAGGCUUAGGUUUAGGCUUAGGGAUAUGUGACGUCAAAGUUGUAAACUUUAUGAUGAGUGCAAGUGCAUAUUAAUUCAUAUUAACAAGGAUGACCAUGUUAUCUGAGGGUUAGUGCUAGUGUUAAGUUUAGGUUUAGGCUUAAGGUUAGGUUUAUUGUUAGGCUUAGGCUUAGGUUUAAGGUUAGGGUUAGGCUUAGGCUUAGGUUUAGGAUUAGGGUUAGGUUUAAGGUUAGGUUUAGGUUUAGGGUUAGGUUUAAGGUUAGGUUUAUUGUUAGGCUUAGGUUUAGGGUUAGGCUUAGGCUUAGGUUAAAGGUUAGGUUUAUUGUUAGGCUUAGGGUUAUGUGAUGUCUAAGUUGUAUAAUUGUGUAUAUUCUAUGAACUACUGCCAUUACAUAAUAACGAGGGUUGAUUGUUUCUGAGUGGUGUGAGCAGACCCCAGUGUGAGGUCGUGUAGAGUCGCCCCACAGGAGGCCAUCGUCCUGUAAUCAAUACCAAUCCAAACCAAUACUGGAUCAAUACCAGGACCACCUGAGAGACUCAACACACCACUGCCUUGUCAGUCCUUUAGUUCUGCUGCUUUAAUCAUCUGUCUACACCUGACGCUGUUUGUCUUUCUCACCACUGUCUGUCUGUCUGUCUGUCUGUCUGUCUGUCUGUCUGUCUGUCUGUCUGUCUGUCUGUCUGUCUGUCUGUCUGUCUGUCUGUCUGUCUGUCUGUCUGUCUGUCUGUCUGUCUGUCUGUCUGUCUGUCUGUCUGUCUGUCUGUCUGUCUGUCUGUCUGUCUGUCUGAUGGGGGUGGUAGCUCACCAGCAUCACUUCUGUCUGUCUGUCUGUCUGUCUGUCUGGUGGGGGUUGGUAACUGGCCAGCCUGCUCACACACUUCAAAGAUGCUGUUCUCUCUAUUAGAAUGGGUUACUGCUGUCUUGUCAAGGUGUGUUUUGCAUUAUGUCACCGAAUAACUAUUGUAGGUAAUAGUUAAAACUCAGUGGGGGCCCGCCCACAGGGCGCUAGGGGCGACGCUCCACUUGUGAUUGGUCCAAAAAAUAAAAUAAAAAAUAAUAGAAAAGUAUAUAUAUUAAGUAAUUAAUGGAUUAUGUUUUCAAUGUUCAUAAGAGUGUGAUGUAUGUGUACAUUUUCCUAUUUCAACAAUCUAUUGGUUAAAACAAUCUGUUUGGUUCCUUCCUACCCUGCCAGCAGCAGCAGCUCCGUGGGCUCACAGGCGCUGAAAACAUUUCAUGGCUUGUUUCACCAGUUAUUUACUCCGAGGGGGAACUUCCCCGGUGAUACGUUUUAACAGCACGAAGUAAACGGACCUUCCUGGAGCGUUCAAACGUCAGAACCAGAACCUCUGGGUCUAGUCUCCUUCCUGUGACGGCUCACCUCCUCAACUGAGACCAGGUCUGCUCUAGUCUCCUUCCUAUGACAGCUCACCUCCUCAACUGAGACUAGGUCUACUCGAGUCUCCUUCCUACGACAGCUCACUUCCUCAACUGAGACCAGGUCUGCUCUAGUCUCCUUCCUAUGACGGCUCACUUCCUCAACUGAGACCAGGUCUGCUCUAGUUUCUUUCCUAUGAUGGCUCACUUCCUCAACUGAGACCAGGUCUGCUCUAGUCUCCUUCCUAUGACGGCUCACUUCCUCAACUGAGACCAGGUCUGCUCUAGUCUCUUUCCUAUGACGGCUCACUUCCUCAACUGAGACUAGUUCUGCUCGAGUCUCCUUUCUAUGACGGCUCACUUCCUCAACUGAGACCAGGUCUGCUCUAGUCUCCUUCCUAUGACGGCUCACUUCCUCAACUGAGACCAGGUCUGCUCUAGUCUCCUUCCUAUGACGGCUCACUUCCUCAACUGAG
ensembl:lncRNA